rnacentral:rRNA from 1 species
CAUAUUGGAGGGGCAAGCGUCUUUUUUUCGCGAUUGGAGGGACAUCGGUGGAGGUGUGUUUACAUGGCAUCUUUUUCCUUUGUGUGAUGAUAAAGCAAAAAGAUAUGUGUAGCAGAGAGGGAGGGGUUAAGGAGGUACCGGUGACCCAACAGCGGCGGUGUAGACUAAGGCCUAUCGAGGCCACUGGCGACGAGCGGCCGGGUCGCGCGAGAGCCACGAGUGGAGGGUAGAAGGUGGCACAGGUACAGGAAGUACGGGGACCUGCUCGGGGGCGUCGUUGGGAUCCGUGGUGCCCAGCGGCAUCGCCUAGGUCGCGGAGGAGACAAAAAUCAGAGUGAUGGGGUACAUAGGAGUGCGCGACAAUGGUCGAGCCCGUGCUUCCACGACGAGGUGGAGCCGAUGGAGAUGAGACUAGGCUGUGGCUGCUAAGUAAUAAUACUCCUAUUUCCUCGGCCUUUGCUGUAGUCACUAUAAACGAAGUCCUUUCUACCGUACGUGUCUUCCUUUCUCACUUCUUGUGAGAGUUCGAAUGACAGUCCUUCAUACGUCUCAACGGGUUUUCGAACCGAAGUGUUGAUGUAAAAUCUAACGGUUCUAUUUAACAACUACGUACCCAGCCUACAACUAACGUUCGAGUGCCUACCCCUACGAUGAUCUAUCAAAGUGUAAUACAAAAUAUUACGGUAAAAGUACCAGUUACAAAGGUGAAAGUUUGUCAUACAAAGUCUUACCAACUCAACAAGCCACAUUAGAAACAUAACACAAGAAACAUUAUGUUGGUUCAAUUAAAUUAUAUACUCCGUAAAUAAUAAU